rnacentral:lncRNA from 1 species
CUUCUACCACCAAACUUAGCUCAGCGUUGUGUGGCUAGUUGAUUUACACAUUUCUCUUUUUGGGAUUUGGGCUCCUCAAAAGAAGAGAAAUAGCCUCAACUUUUUAAUAUAACACAAAUUCCAAUAGUGCGUUUCUGAAUGAACUCCUCUUAAUUCACUUGGAAUAUAGCUGUUGAGUAUCCUUUGUGUGCCAAGUGCCGGAGAGAACACUGUAAAGGUUGCUGUGGACUUUAAAUGCACUGAUACAUUGGUCUCCAAUAUUUUGAUGACCAGGGACCAGUUUUGUGGAAGACAAUUUUUCCAAGGGACAUUUUGGGGAUUUG